UUUGCAUACGUUACAUAUAUACUACGAUUUUAAGCAAGUGUGAUUUUCUUGAUCUCUUUUCCUCACAAUUUCUUUAGUAUUGUGUAAAAAAAAUUGAGCGUACGGGGAGAACGAUAUAUUAACAAAAAAUGUCUGGUCGUGAAGGUGGAAAAAAGAAGCCCUUAAAAGCUCCCAAAAAAGAAUCUAAAGAAAUGGACGAUGAUGAAUUAGCUUUCAAACAAAAACAAAAGGAACAACAAAAGGCUUUAGAUGCAGCUAAGCAAAAGGCUUCCCAAAAAGGACCUUUAGUAGGAGGCGGCAUCAAAAAGUCUGGCAAAAAAUAAAUUUUAUAAGCAUUUAUUUAAAUAUGUUACUCUAAAAUCCCUAACAAGUUAACAAUAAAUGUGUACAGCCUUUUUUUUU